rnacentral:rRNA from 1 species
UACGUAGGCAGCGAGCGUUGUUCGGAAUUAUUGGGCGUAAAGGGUGCGUAGGCGGUUUGGUAAGUCUGAUGUGAAAUCUAUGGGCUCAACUCAUAGUCUGCAUCGGAAACUGCCGGGCUUGAGUGUGGGAGAGGUGAGUGGAAUUCCUGGUGUAGCGGUGAAAUGCGUAGAUAUCAGGAGGAACACCGGUGGUGUAAACGGCUUUCUGGACCAUAAACUGACGCUGGAGGCAACGAAAGCGUGGGUAGCAAACAGG